rnacentral:rRNA from 1 species
GGGUGAGUAACGCGUAGGAAUCUACCUAGUAGUGGGGAAUAGCCUCGAGAAAUCGAGGGUAAUACCGCAUUCUCUCCAAUUUAUUGGAGCAAAGCCUUCGGGCGCUAUUAGAGGAGCCUGCGUCCUAUCAGGUUGUUGGUGGGGUAAUAGCCUACCAAGCCUAUGACGGGUAGCCGGUGUGAGAGCACGACCGGCCACAAGGUUACUGAGACACGGAACCUACACC